rnacentral:rRNA from 1 species
GACGAACGCUGGCGGCGUGCCUAAUACAUGCAAGUAGAACGCUGAAGGAGGAGCUUGCUUCUCUGGAUGAGUUGCGAACGGGUGAGUAACGCGUAGGUAACCUGCCUGGUAGCGGGGGAUAACUAUUGGAAACGAUAGCUAAUACCGCAUAAGAGUAGAUGUUGCAUGACAUUUGCUUAAAAGGUGCAAUUGCAUCACUACCAGAUGGACCUGCGUUGUAUUAGCUAGUUGGUGGGUAACGGCUCACCAAGGCGACGAUACAUAGCCGACCUGAGAGGGUGAUCGGCCACACUGGGACUGAGACACGGCCCAGACUCCUACGGGAGGCAGCAGUAGGGAAUCUUCGGCAAUGGACGGAAGUCUGACCGAGCAACGCCGCGUGAGUGAAGAAGGUUUUCGGAUCGUAAAGCUCUGUUGUAAGAGAAGAACGAGUGUGAGAGUGGAAAGUUCACACUGUGACGGUAUCUUACCAGAAAGGGACGGCUAACUACGUG